rnacentral:rRNA from 1 species
AUACAGAGGGUGCAAGCGUUAAUCGGAUUUACUGGGCGUAAAGCGCGCGUAGGUGGCUAAUUAAGUCAAAUGUGAAAUCCCCGAGCUUAACUUGGGAAUUGCAUUCGAUACUGGUUAGCUAGAGUAUGGGAGAGGAUGGUAGAAUUCCAGGUGUAGCGGUGAAAUGCGUAGAGAUCUGGAGGAAUACCGAUGGCGAAGGCAGCCAUCUGGCCUAAUACUGACACUGAGGUGCGAAAGCAUGGGGAGCAAACAGGAUUAGAUACCCUGGUAGUCCAUGCCGUAAACGAUGUCUACUAGCCGUUGGGGCGCUUGAGGCUUUAGUGGCGCAGCUAACGCGAUAAGUAGACCGCCUGGGGAGUACGGUCGCAAGACUAAAACUCAAAUGAAUUGACGGGG